rnacentral:rRNA from 1 species
CCAAUAGCGUAUAUUAAAGUUGCUGCAGUUAAAAAGCUCGUAGUUGAAUUUCGGGAUCAGUCUGUCGGUCGUGCCUCGGUACGUACUGGCAUUAUUGGUUCCUCCCUUCUGAAGAACCGCGAUGUCAUUAAUUUGGUGUCUCGGGGAAUCAGGACUGUUACUUUGAAAAAAUUAGAGUGUUUAAAGCAGGCUUGCGCUUGAAUACAUUAGCAUGGAAUAAUGAAAUAGGACGUUUGAUUCUAUUUUGUUGGUUUCUAGGAUCGACGUAAUGAUUAAUAGGGAUAGUUGGGGGCAUUAGUAUUCAAUUGUCAGAGGUGAAAUUCUUGGAUGUAUUGAAGACUAACUACUGCGAAAGCAUUUGCCAAGGAUGUUUUCAUUAAUCAAGAACGAAAGUUAGGGGAUCGAAGACGAUCAGAUACCGUCGUAGUCUUAACCAUAAACUAUGCCGACUAGGGAUCGGAUGAUGUUAAUUUUAUAAUGACUCAUUCGGCGCCUUACG